AAUGAACGUUGGCGGCAUGGAUUAGGCAUGCAAGUCGAACGCGUAUAGUAAUAUACGAGUGGCGAAAGGGACAGUAAUGCGUAGAUACGUACCCUCCGGUCUGGGAUAGUCCGUCGAAAGACGGGGUAAUACCAGAUAAUGUCUCCGGACCAAAGGUGUGAGUCCACCGGUGGAGCGGUCUACGUCCUAUUAGCUUGUUGGUGGGGUAACGGCCUACCAAGGCAAUGAUGGGUAGCGGGUGUGAGAGCACGACCCGCGUCACUGGGACUGAGACACUGCCCAGACACCUACGGGUGGCUGCAGUCGAGGAUCUUCGGCAAUGGACGCAAGUCUGACCGAGCGAUGCCGCGUGCGGGAUGAAGGCUUUCGGGUUGUAAACCGCUGUCAGUGGGGAGGAAAUCUAGGUGGGUACUCUCAUCUAGUUGACCUAUCCGCAGAGGAAGCAAGGGCUAAGUUCGUGCCAGCAGCCGCCGUAACAC
rnacentral:rRNA from 1 species